UGUGCUAAGGUAGCAUAAUAAUUAGUUAUUUAAUUGAUUCCUAGAAUGAAAGGUUUGACAAAAUAUAGAUUUUCUUAUUCUUUGUAUUAAAUUGAUAUUUAAAUUAAAAAGUUUAAAUAAUCUAAACAGACGAUAAGACCCUAAAACCUUUACCAGCAAUAUAGCUGUUUUACUGGGGUGGUAAAUUAUAAUAACAUUAUUUUGUCUAACAUAUUGAAUGAAAAUUUAUAACUUCUAAAAUAGCCAAAAAGGUACUUUAGGGAUAACAGCAUAAUUUCUAUUAAGAGUAAACAUAUCGACAUAGAAGAUUAUGACCUCGAUGUUGAAUUGAUAUACCUCUCUUAAGCAG
rnacentral:rRNA from 1 species